UCAGGAUGAACGCUAGCGACAGGCUUAACACAUGCAAGUCGAGGGGUAACAGGGUAGCAAUACCGCUGACGACCGGCGCACGGGUGAGUAACGCGUAUGCAACCUGUCUAUAACUGGGGAAUAGCUCCCUGAAAGGGGAAUUAACACCGCAUAACACUAUUGAUUCGCAUGGAUUAGUAGUUAAAUGUAGCGAUACGGGUUAUAGAUGGGCAUGCGUGACAUUAGCUAGUUGGUGAGGUAACGGCUCACCAAGGCUACGAUGUCUAGGGGUUCUGAGAGGAAGGUCCCCCCACACUGGUACUGAGACACGGACCAGACUCCUACGGGAGGCAGCAGUGAGGAAUAUUGGUCAAUGGGCGCAAGCCUGAACCAGCCAUGUCGCGUGCAGGAAGAACCUGCCCUAUGGGUUGUAAACUGCUUUUAUAGUAGAAGAAACACAUCUACGCGUAGAUGUCUGCCAGUAUACUAUGAAUAAGCAUCGGCUAACUCCGUGCCAGCCGCCGC
rnacentral:rRNA from 1 species